rnacentral:rRNA from 1 species
UACGUAGGGUGCGAGCGUUAAUCGGAAUUACUGGGCGUAAAGGGCUCGUAGGCGGCCAACUAAGUCGGAUGUGAAAUCCCCAGGCUCAACCUGGGAACUGCAUCCGAUACUGGAUGGCUUGAAUUCGGGAGAGGGAUGCAGAAUUCCAGGUGUAGCGGUGAAAUGCGUAGAUAUCUGGAGGAAUACCGGUGGCGAAGGCGGCAUCCUGGACCGACAUUGACGCUGAGGAGCGAAAGCUAGGGGAGCAAACGGG